rnacentral:rRNA from 1 species
GACGAACGCUGGCGGCGUGCUUAACACAUGCAAGUAGAACGGAAAGGCCCUGCUCUUGUGGGGCGCUCGAGUGGCGAAAGGGUGAGUAACACGUGAGUAAACUGCCCUUGACAUUGGGAUAACUUCAGGAAACUGGGGCUCAUACCGGAUAGAAACUCCAGCUGCAUGGUGGGGGUAGGAAAAAUUCGGCGGUGCGGGAUGGACUCGCGGCCUAUCAGCGUGUUGGUGGGGUGGUGGCGUACCAGGGCUUUGACGGGUAGCCGGCCUGAGAGGGUGACCGGCCACAGUGGGACUGAGAUACGGCCCAGACUGCUACGGGAGGAAGCAGUGGGGAAUAGUGCAAGAUGGGCGGAGUCCGUAAGCAGCAUCGCCGCGUGGUGGAGCACGGCCGUCGGGUUGGAAACCGCGUGCGCCUGUGAAGAGCAGUGAGUGACGGUAAUGUGUAAAGAAGCACCGGCUAACUACGUG